GACGAACGCUGGCGGCGUGCUUAACACAUGCAAGUCGAACGCUGAAGCCCUUUCGGGGGUGGAUGAGUGGCGAACGGGUGAGUAACACGUGGGUAAUCUGCCCUGUACUUCGGGAUAAGCCUUGGAAACGGGGUCUAAUACCGGAUAGGACCUGUCCUCGCAUGGGGGUGGGUGGAAAGUUCCGGCGGUCUGGGCUGAGCCCGCGGCCUAUCAGGUUGUUGGUGGGGUAGUGGCCUACCAAGGCGACGACGGGUAGCCGGCCUGAGAGGGUGACCGGUCACACUGGGACUGAGACACGGCCCAGACUCCUACGGGAGGCAGCAGUGGGGAAUCUUGCGCAAUGGGCGAAAGCCUGACGCAGCAACGCCGCGUGGGGGAUGACGGCCUUCGGGUUGUAAACCUCUUUCGACAUCGACGAAGGGGCCCUGUUGAGGGGUUUUGACGGUAGGUGUAGAAGAAGCACCGGCUAACUACGUGCCAGCCGCCGCCGUAA
rnacentral:rRNA from 1 species